rnacentral:rRNA from 1 species
GACGAACGCUGGCGGCGUGCUUAACACAUGCAAGUCGAACGGAAAGGCCUGCUUUCCCUUGUGGAUUGCGGGUACUCGAGUGGCGAACGGGUGAGUAACACGUGAGUGAUCUGCCCCCAACUUGGGUAUAAGCCUGGGAAACUGGGUCUAAUUCCCGAUAGGACUGCAGGGUGGUGCCUGUGGUGGAAAACGAUUUUCUAGUGGUUGGGGAUGAGCUCGCGGCCUAUCAGCUUGUUGGUGGGGUAAUGGCCUACCAAGGCGGCGACGGGUAGCCGGCCUGAGAGGGUGGACGGCCACAUUGGGACUGAGAUACGGCCCAGACUCCUACGGGAGGCAGCAGUGGGGAAUAUUGCACAAUGGGCGGAAGCCUGAUGCAGCGACGCCGCGUGGGGGAUGACGGCCUUCGGGUGGUAAACUCCUUUCGACCGCGAGGAAGCCACCUGGUUGGAAGGGUGGUGACGGUAGUGGUAGAAGAAGCACCGGCUAACUACGUG